AGUUCUGAAUGUUGGUUUCUACCAGGCAUCUAUCUACAUACAUACAAAACAAAACCAUAUAUGAACCGUUCAAAUGAGGUAGUUAUGCCUAAUGUUUUGAGGGUAUGUUUUUUUUUUUUUCUGGAAAACAGUUUGCAUUCUACUUAGAGUUAUCGAUCGGUGGCGGAGACAAUUUCAGUUGCAAGUGUACGGUCCAUAGUUUCAAGAGCUAUACGAAGCUUGAUUCUGUGGUUUCUUCUAGUAUUAUUUCUCCAUUGGAGCCUUGUGUUCUGUAUGUAAGUGCGAGAUAAGAUCCUGUCAUGGCUGCACAGCACACACAGAAUAUCAAAUAAGCAAGCAAGCUGGCAUUUGAAUGGUUGAAUCUCUUUUCAUUGUUUAUGGUCCACCAGGUUGAGAUGACACCAGAGGAGGCUAAACAGAUAUAAUUGACUUGGCAGACUCCUCACUCUCUUAUUUCUCUCAAAAGUUGAGUGUUCCAAUUUCGGGGUUUCUUUUUUUGGUGGUAUUUUCAGCUGCCAAGCAUACUCAUUUGAAGUCAUUCUCUGUUGAUAAGACGAAGGUUUAGCGUCAUCUUAAAGCCACAAUCAGAAGCAAUUCUUGAAGAAUCAUCCAUUUGUAAUAGAAAAUAUACACCUAAUACACAAUGUUUAUUUGAAGAAUCAUCCACCGUUGAUGGGGAAGAACAUAAGCAAGAGAUAUUUACUCCUACGACUCAUCUUCGCCAGGUGACUUUAAAUUUAAGACGCACAUUUAUCUAUCUUCUUUUAAUCAGCAAUCUAUAAUUGUUUACAAUUUUUGAAUGUGUUCUUGAGGUAUAUGAAUUUUGUUUUACAUAAAAUAAGAAAAACUAGAGAUUGAAGGACGAAAAAAGUAAUAUGAAUCUGUUCUUGAGGCAUAUGAUUUUGAUUUUACUGUUGAUAUUAAUAUCAGGUAUCUUUAUUAUGUAUCUCCUUAUGACAUUAUGCUGAAAAGGAAACUUAAUAUGCUUGCCGCUAGGCACCCCAAUUUAAA